CCUACGGGAGGCAGCAGUAGGGAAUUUUGCGCAAUGGGCGAAAGCCUGACGCAGCAACGCCGCGUGAUCGAGACGCCCUUCGGGGUGUAAAGAUCUGUCAGUGGGGACGAAACUUGACGGUACCCACAGAGGAAGAACCGGCUAACUCGGUGCCAGCCGGCGAGGUAAUACGGGGGGCGCAAGCGUUGUCCGGAAGCAUUGGGCGUAAAGAGUUCGUAGGCGGCACGUAAAGUCUGGUGGUUAAGGCAGAGGCGCAACUUCUGUAAGGCACUGGUUACUUGCGAGCUAGAGUGCGGUAGAGGGAAAGGGAAUUCCUGGUGUAGCGGUGAAAUGCUUAGAUAUCAGGAGGAACAUCGGUGGCGUAAGCGCUUUACUGGGCCGUAAUUGACGCUGAGGAACGAAAGCCAGGGUAGCAAAUGGGAUUAGAUACCCUGGUAGUC
rnacentral:rRNA from 1 species